GUAGCAUCUGUUGAGAACUAAAAGAGCAGAAACACAAAGGAGAGCGGUAGAACCUCAAAAUGAUCCUGCACAAGAGAAGAAGCAGUUGAAUAAAUGUACCAUCAUUCAGACCAGCAAAACCCUUGCCAUUUUAUGGAUUUUGAAAAAGAUGUUGCACACUUGAAGGAGGAUUUGUGUACUGCUAUUUUCUGAAUUCUGUAGCAAGAUUGAUGCAACGUCCAUUUGAAAGUCAAAAUGAGAAAACUUAUUGUUGGAAUCGGAGGAAUCACAAAUGGCGGAAAAACUACACUUGCGUGCAAACUUAAGAAGGCUUUUCCAAACAGUGUGUUACUAUGUCAAGAUACAUUUUUUAAGGUA